rnacentral:rRNA from 1 species
AUGGUCGGCAAUGGCAUCAUGGCGCCAUCGCAGCGGAAGAAGGUAUGCGUGAUCGGGGCCGGGAUGGCCGGGCUCGUGUCAGCCCGCGAGCUGCGACGGGAGGGCGACGACGUGACGGUGCUGGAGCAGCGCGGCGACGUGGGCGGGCAGUGGCUAUACGACCCGAGGGUCGACGGCACCGACCCGCUCGGCACCGCGGAGCCGGUGAAGGUGCAUAGCAGCUUGUACGCGUCCCUCUGCCUCAUCAGCGCCCGGGAGACCAUGGGCUUCACCGACUUCCCCUUCGCUCCCAAGCCCAAGGACGGCCGCGACAGCCGGCGCUUCCCGGGCCACCGCGAGGUGUACCUCUACCUCAAGGACUUCUGCGAUGCCUUCGGGCUCAUGGAGCUCGUCAGGCUCAACACCAGUGCUGCGCGUGUUGCCUUGGCGCCGGGUCCGACUCCGACGCGGCAGUGGACGGUGAGCUCCGUCGAUCUCGGCAAGUGCAAUGGUACCGAGGAGGAGGAGGAGGUGUUCGACGCCGUGGUCGUCGCCAAUGGCCACUACUCGCAGCCAAUAUUACCAACAAUCAAAGGCAUGCAAGUGUGGAGGGGAAGGCAGAUGCACAGCCACUCGUACAGGGUGCCGGAACAGUUCCGCGACGAGGUGGUGGUGGUGGUGGGGUGCGGCCUCAGCGGCAUGGAGAUCGCCAUGGAGGUCCGCGGGGUGGCCAAGGAGGUGCAUCUCGUCGCCAAAUCCAUGGAGGAGGUAACCCAAGGGCUCGCCAAGGUGCUCGCCAAGCAUAGCGUUAGCCUUCACCUACAACUUCACGUGGAGCGCCUGUGCCAGGACGGGCGGGUGGUGUUCGGCGACGGCUCUAGUGUCCUCGCCGACACGGUCAUCUACUGCACAGGGUACAAUUACACUUUCCCAUUCCUGGAUACCGAGGGAGCAGUCACCGUCGACGACAACCGCGUGGGCCCGCUAUUCGAGCACGUUUUCCCGCCGACGCUGGCGCCAUCACUCUCCUUCAUCGGUAUACCCAAAAAGGUAUUUGCUCCUUGGUUCUUCGAGGCUCAAGCGAAAUGGGUGGCGCAUGUCCUGUCUGGCAAGAGGACGCUGCCGCCGGAGGAGGAGAUGAUGCGAUCCGUGGAGGAGUUUUACCACGCCAGGGAUAUAGCUGGCGUGCCCAAGAAGUUCACCCACGACGUCAGCUUGUUUGACAUCACGACAUGA